UUACAGCCAUAUCACGUUGAAACACUGAUUCUCGUAUGAUUGCCAAGGUUAAGCAAUGCUGAUCCUGGUCAAUACCUAGAUGGGUGACCACUUGGGAAUACCAGGUGCUGUAA